GACGAACGCUGGCGGCGUGCUUAACACAUGCCAGUCGAACGGGCCUGUCUUCUUUUUUGGGGGUGGGUUGAGUGGCGAACGGGUGAGUAUCACGUGAGUAACCUGCCCUUCGGUCCUGGAUAACCGCUUGAAAGGGCGGCUAAUACGGGGUGGUCCGGUUGGUCCGCAUGGGCUGGUCGGGAUAGAUUCACUGUUUUUGGUGUUUCGGCGGGGGAUGGGCUCGCGGCCUAUCAGCUUGUUGGUGGGGUGAUGGCCUACCAAGGCGGUGACGGGUAGCCGGCCUGAGAGGGUGGGCGGCCACACUGGGACUGAGAUACGGCCCAGACUCCUGCGGGAGGCAGCAGUGGGGGGUAUUGCACAAUGGGCGGAAGCCUGAUGCAGCGACGUCGCGUGAGGGAGGGAGGCCUUCGGGUUGUGAACCUCUGUUUCCGGUGGUGAAGGCCCUGUCCGUGUGGUGGGGUUGACGGUAGCCGGGGAUGAAGCGCCGGCUAACUACGUG
rnacentral:rRNA from 1 species